UGAACCUUUCCCAAAAUUUCACCAAUGUGUC
rnacentral:piRNA from 1 species